rfam:Flavobacterium fryxellicola strain DSM 16209 FBFR33, whole genome shotgun sequence.
CCGUAGCCCCGAUAGCAGCAAAAAUCCUUUGCUGUGGCGGGAGCCAAAAGCAAAGAUUGCAGCGCAUAGCGGGACAAAAC